AGGAAAAAAAAAGAGCGUCUAUCUUGCGCACGGUAAAAAAAGUACAGACCCAGCCCAGCCCAGCCCAGCCCAGCCCCAAGCAAACCCUCACCCAAAACCCUUACCAGCCUUCUGCCUCCCUCUCCCUCUCUCUAUCUAGCCUCUCUCUAUCCUGCCCCAAGUAAUUGAAGUAAACCCUCGCCCCAAGUGAUAAAGCCGAAGCAGAAAAUAAGAAUUGAAAGAAUGGCAAGCGAAUGAAACCGCCGCUGGCGAUGAUUAAUCUACAGAAGAAAUCGUUAUUGGUCAGCACUGCCACUUUCUCUGCGUCCGUGUUCUCAAAACCUUCCACUACUUCAUCUCCUCGACUCAACUCAAUGUCCAAGCUGCAGCACAGGGGACUCCGUGCGAACCCAAGCACCUACUUACCUUGUUCUCCAUUCAGCGUUGGUAAUGGCAACAGAUACAGAAGAGCGUCUCAGCUUAAGUUUGACAGACACAGAGUAGCUUGCAGGAUCUCAACUAACCAUGCCAAGGCUGGGACAGAUUCUCAUCUUUUCCAAAGCUCUCUUGAUGGUUCUCAGAAUGCUUUCCACUUAAGACCUGGGUUCCUGAAUUGCAUGGCACCUCUAAAUAGUGUUAUUUAUGGGUCUCUAAACAGAGGUUUCAGAAGGAGUUAUUCUAGUUAUGGAAGCUUGGCUCAGAGGUUUUUUUCUCAAGAUGCGAGUUUAACAAAUAGAUAUGAAAACGUUGGUGUUCGUGGCAAAGAGGGUGAUGGGAAGUCCUUGGGCUUCCAACCAUUUAGUGAACACAGGAAACGAGCAAAAGCAUUGGCUGCUCACAGGAAAAAAACAGCUGCAAAUUUGAAUAUUUCAGCCUCUAAAGAUGUCGACCUGAUGACUUCUAGUGAACAGUUAGUGGGAGAUGGGAGUAAGAAUGUGAAGCUGGGAGCAAAUAUUUCAAUUUCUCCUGUUAAAAAUGAUAAUCAGAACACUGAAGUUCAUGGGAAACAAAAGCAGCACUCAAGAAGCAAGAAAAACAAGGUGCAUAAAGUUGCUGCUAAUGCUUCAGAAGAAGCAGUUGAAGCAAAAGGACCCCAAAGUUCUUCUCAAGCAAAGACUCCGAAUGCGGGCAAAAGAGGCAAGAAUUCCACACAGGUGUUAGAGAAGAAUUCAGUUGGGAAAACACAUGUGGAAGUGCUUGAUAGUUCUGCUUCAAGAAAUGCCCAGUUGAAUGAGAGAAAUGGGAACUCUUGUAGAAAGGUGAAAUCUAUCAAAGCAGCUAACAAGUCACCAAAUAAACAGAAUUCACAAGAGAGAGGCAAAUUGAAUAAUCAGGGUCCAAAGACACUGAAACAGCUCUAUUCCCCCCUUGUGAAAUCUGUAGUGGUGGUAGAGUCUGUAACAAAGGCUAAGGUUAUUCAGGGCUACCUUGGUGAUAUGUAUGAAGUAUUGCCUAGCUAUGGUCAUGUAAGAGACCUGGCUGCAAGGUCAGGAUCUGUGCGGCCUGAUGAUGACUUUAGCAUGGUGUGGGAGGUCCCAUCCGCCGCCUGGACUCAUCUGAAGAGCAUCAAGGUUGCACUAAGUGGAGCAGAAAAUCUUAUCCUUGCAUCAGAUCCAGACCGUGAAGGAGAGGCUAUUGCCUGGCACAUCAUUGAGAUGCUGCAGCAACAGGAUGCUUUACGUGAAGACAUUAACAUUGCAAGGGUUGUCUUUCACGAAAUAACGGAGUCCUCCAUCAAAAGUGCUCUCGAAGAUCCAAGAGAAAUUGAUGUAAACUUGGUUCAUGCUUAUCUUGCACGGCGUGCUCUUGAUUAUUUGAUUGGAUUUAACAUUUCACCAUUAUUAUGGAGGAAACUACCUGGUUGCCAGUCAGCUGGGCGAGUACAAUCUGCCGCGCUCGCUCUUAUAUGUGACAGGGAAAUGGAAAUUGAUGAAUUUAAACCUCAGGAGUAUUGGAGUAUUGAGGUGAAGAUGAACCAAUAUGGACCGGGUUCUUUAGUGAAUGGCUUUUCUUUCCCAGCACACUUGACGCAAUACGAUUCUAAAAAGUUGAAUCAGUUUUCAAUCAGCUCUGUUACGGAGGCCAAGGAAAUUGAGCGGAAGAUUAGUUCAGCAAAAUUUAAAGUGCUCAGCUCUAAAAGAAACAAAAUGCGGAAAAACCCACCGACACCAUAUAUAACAUCAACACUUCAGCAGGAUGCUGCAAACAAAUUACAUUUUACUGCAGCCUAUACAAUGAAGCUUGCUCAAAAACUUUAUGAGGGGGUUCAAUUAUCUAAUGCUAAGGCAGCAGGUCUGAUAACGUACAUCAGAACCGAUGGACUACACAUGUCCGAUGAAGCUGUUAAGGACAUUCGCGCUAUGGUAAUUGAAAGGUAUGGACAAGAGUUUGCAUCAGAGCAUGCUCGCAAAUAUUUUAAGAAGGUGAAGAAUGCUCAAGAGGCCCACGAGGCAAUUAGACCCACUGAUAUUCGGAGGUUACCAUCAAUGCUUGUUGGAGUACUUGAUGAAGAUUCCAUGAAGUUAUACACUCUUAUUUGGUCACGGACAGUUGCAUGCCAAAUGGAACCCGCUAUCAUAGAGCAGAUACUAUUGGAUGUUGGAAAUGAUGAUGAGUCAAUUAUUUUGCGAUCUGCAUGCUCACGAGUUGGAUUUCUUGGGUAUCAGGCAGUUUUUGAGGAUGUGGAAGUUGAAGCAAUCCAAAGUAAAGAAAAGGAAGAGAAUGAUCGCAACGAGGCAUUUGGAAUUCUUAGUUUAUUGAAGUGUGGAGACCCAUUGUGUCUUGGUGAAGUGGAACCUAAGCAGCACUUUACCCAGCCUCCGUCACGCUACUCUGAGGCAUCAUUGGUUAAGAAGCUAGAGGAGCUUGGAAUCGGAAGACCUUCAACAUAUGCCAGCACACUAAAAGUUUUACAGGACAGAAACUACGUGACUGUGAAAAGCCGUGUAUUGCAUCCAGAAUUUCGUGGUCGCAUGGUGUCAGCAUUUCUUUGUCACCAUUUUUCAGAGGUCACAGACUACAGUUUCACUGCCGACAUGGAGACUGAGCUUGAUAAUGUUUCUGCUGGAUUAACUGAAUGGAAAGGCCUUCUCAGAGAUUAUUGGACAAGAUUCAGCUCAUAUUGUGAUCGUGCUAACAGCGUCCAUAUUCACCAGGUGGAGAAAAUGUUGGAGAAAAAGUUUGGGGAUUCCUUAUUCGAUUCUCUUCCAGAUAAAAGCAGAACAUGCCCAAGUUGUAUGGAGGGCACUUUGAUUUUCAAAGUAAGCAGAUACGGUGCUGGAUAUUUUAUUGGUUGUGAUCAACACCCAAAGUGCAAAUAUAUUGCCAAGACAUUAUAUGGUGAUGAUGAUGAAGAAGUUGCUCCUCAAAAGAACAACAUGGAGGAGCCAAAAGUGCUGGGUAUUAAUCCUGGUUCCGCCGAAAAGGUCCUUUUGAAGAAUGGUCCAUAUGGAUUCUAUGUACAGCUUGGUGAAGACAGGAAGGGAUACUUGCCUAAAAGAACCUCUGUUUCCCAUAUAAAGGAUGUGGAGUCUAUUACUAUUGAAGAUGCUCUUGAGUUGCUGCGCUACCCUGUGACUUUGGGGAACCAUCCAAAGGAUGGCCAACCAGUGGUGUUAAGGCUUGCAAAGCUGGGAUUUUCUAUUAGACAUCGACGUUCAAAUGCUCCAGUCCCCAAGAAUGUGAAGCCAAAUGAAAUCACCCUCGAGAAAGCAUUGGAGCUCUUGUCGAGUAAAGAUGUUAGGCGAUGUGGCCGACCUAAGAACAAACCAAAGGUUGAAGAAGCUGCACAGGCCAUGUAGCCUCGGCAAAUAGUAGAAGAGUGCAAGUUCUUUGCAGACUAAUAACUUAUGAAUACUAAAUAGUGGCAAAUUGUCCACUCUGCAACAAGAUUUGAUCAAUGCUGGAGCAUCAACUUCCAUCACCUGGAGAUUCUUUUGUGCAUCAAGAAGAGAAGAUGCAGAAUAUGCAAGCGUUCGUGAAUCUUUCAGGUGAAAUCAUAAUGCAUGCAAUAUUGUCUGCUUGGAGAACGGAACCUACGAACAGGGUUUAGUUUGUUGUAUUCAUUUAUUUAAGCCCCCUUUUCCCCUCACAGUAAUAAUGGUUAAGAAUAGUGUCUGGUUUUAUUCAAGUUUAAUAACAUUCCUUUCAAGUUUUUAAUA